UCCCUGGUGGCUCAGACGGUGAAGCGUCUGCCUACAAUGCAGGAGACCCAGGUUUGAUCCCUGAGUUGGGAA
rfam:Ovis aries breed Texel chromosome 11, whole genome shotgun sequence.